CUCUGUGCAAAGGCAGAGGCUGUGGGAGCAGCAUCAAGCAAGACUUCGGGCAGUGAUUCUAACUAUUGCCUAUGAACACCGUGGCUGGGACGACUUUGACGAGGCAAUUUAUUACUUACGCAUAGAACACUGGCUGUGCUGAAACUGGGAGCGCAAACAGCCCCUUGUUUUCUAAUUUAGAGACUUGCAUCUUUUCGACACUCAACAGUAUCAAGACACUCUGCUACUACAGAUUGAUUUCCACCAUCAACACCUUUACCUCUUCCCGCCUGAAAAUAAAAUAUGAAAUAUAACAAGUAAAUCGCAAUCUACCUUGAAUCUUCUGGAGAGGAAAGAAGAAACCAUGUCUAGACAAGGUGCUGGAAAGACCCAGGGAAGACACAGGCUUUGGUAUCAGGAUGAUGCUGGCCUCACAAAAUGAGUUAGGGAGGAUUCCCUCUUUUUCUAUUGAUUGGAAUAGUUUCAGAAGGAAUGGUACCAGCUCCUCCUUGUACCUCUGGUAGAAUUCGGCUGUGAAUCCAUCUGGUCCUGGACUUUUUUUGGUUGGUAAGCUAUUAAUUAUUGCCUCAAUUUCGGAGCCUGUUAUUGGUCUAUUCAGAGAUUCAACUUCUUCCUGGUUUGGCCUUGGGAGGGUGUAUGUGUCGAGGAAUUUAUCCAUUUCUUCUAGAUUUUCUAGUUUAUUUGCGUAGAGGUGUUUAUAG
rnacentral:lncRNA from 1 species